UACGGGGGGGGUAAGCGUUGUUCGGAAUUACUGGGCGUAAAGGGCGCGCAGGCGGCUGCUCAAGUCAGGCGGGAAAGGCCUGGGCUCAACCCGGAAACUGCCAUUGAUACUAUUGGUCUUGAAUGUUGUUGAGGUGGGCGGAACGGGUCAUGUAGCGGUGAAAUGCAUAGAUAUGACCCGGAACACCGAUUGCGAAGGCAGCCCACUAAGCAAUGAUUGACGCUGAGGCACGAAAGCGUGGGGAUCAAACAGG
rnacentral:rRNA from 1 species